UGGAGGUAAAGUGUGUUACUGUGUAAUGUGUUGGUAGUUAGUUGGUAGUUAGUGGAGGUAAAGUGUGUUACUGUGUAAUGUGUUGGUAGUUAGUUGGUAGUUAGUGGAGGUAAAGUGUGUUACUGUGUAAUGUGUUGGUAGUUAGUUGGUAGUUAGUGGAGGUAAAGUGUGUUACUGUGUAAUGUGUUGGUAGUUAGUUGGUAGUUAGUGGAGGUAAAGUGUGUUACUGUGUAAUGUGUUGGUAGUUAGUUGGUAGUUAGUGGAGGUAAAGUGUGUUACUGUGUAAUGUGUUGGUAGUUAGUUGGUAGUUAGUGGAGGUAAAGUGUGUUACUGUGUAAUGUGUUGGUAGUUAGUUGGUA